AAAAGUUAAUAAGGGCACACGGAGGAUGCCUAGGCAGCAACAGCCGACGAAGGACGUGAUAAGCUGCGAUAAGCCGGGAGAAGAUGCACAUAAUCAUUGAUCCCCGGAUUUCCGAAUGGGUAAACCUGCAUGCCUGGAGGGCAUGCGUGAAAACGGCAAGCCUGCGAACUGAAACAUCUAAGUAGCAGGAGGAAAAGAAAGUAAAAACGAUUCCCCAAGUAGCGGCGAGCGAACAGGGAAAAGCCUAAACCGUGCCAGUGUCAAGUGGACAGCGUUGCUGGCACGGGGUUGUGGGACUUCCAUUAACGGAUUGUCAUAAUGUUUAAUCUAUAUAUGUGUAAGUAGAAUCAGAUGGGAAACUGAACCAAAGAAGGUGAAAGUCCUGUAGAACAUAAAGCAUAUGUGGAGACUGGAAGCACCCGAGUAGCGUCAGGCACGAGGAAUCUGGCGUGAAUCAGCGUGGACCAAAUCACGUAAGGCUAAAUACUGUUGUUGACCGAUAGUGAAGAGUACCGUGAGGGAAAGGUGAAAAGAACCCUGAGCAAGGGAGUGAAACAGAAUUUGAAACCGUGUGCUUACAAACGGUAGGAGCACAUUAUGUGUGACUGCGUGGAUUUUGGUUAAUCAUCCUGCGAGUUAUGGCUGGUGGCAAGGUUAAUAGACGGAGCCGAAGGGAAACCAAGUCUUAAUAGGGCGUCAAGUCGCCAGUCAUAGACGCGAAACCUAGUGAUCUAGGCCUGUCCAGGCUGAAGCUGAGGUAAGACUCAGUGGAGGGCCGAACUCACCGCCGUUGAAAAGUUGGGAGAUGAGGCAGGUCUAGGGGUGAAAAGCCAAUCGAACUAGGAGAUAGCUCGUUCUCUCCGAAAUGCAUUUAGGUGCAGCCUUGAACUGAGAUAUGUGGGGGUAGAGCUCUGUAUGAUCUAGGGGGCGUACUGCUUACCGAAAUCAAGCAAACUGCGAAUACCAUAUAUCAUGUUCAGGAGUGAGUCCGUGGAUGACAAGGUCCUCGGACGAGAGGGGAACAGCCCAGACCGCCAGCUAAGGUCCCUAAUUAUGUCUAAGUGGGAAAGGAGGUGGACAUUCAUAGACAACCAGGAGGUUGGCUUAGAAGCAGCCAUGCCUUGAAAGAGUGCGUAAUAGCUCACUGGUCGAGAGUGCCUGCGCCGAAGAUGUAACGGGGCUAAGACAUAAACCGAAGCUGCGGAAGAUACACUGUAUCUUGGUAGGAGAGCGUUCUGUAGGCCGUCGAAGGGAUGCCGCAAGGCCGUCCUGGAGGUAUCAGAAGCGAGAAUGCAGGAAUGAGUAGCGAGAAGGCGGGCGAGAAUCCCGCCGGCCGGAAGUCCAAGGUUUCCAGGGGAAGGCUUGUCCGCCCUGGGGAAGUCGGGACCUAAGCAUAAGCAAAAUUGUGAUGGCGAAUGGAAAACAGGUUAAUAUUCCUGUACCGCUGUUAUCGCUUGAGAGACGGAGUGACGCAGGAAGGUAUGCGAGAAGGCUGACGGUUUAGCCUUUCUAAGGGCCCAGCGUGGGCGUGCAGGUAAAUCCGCACGCCUAAACGUGAGACCUGACGGGGAAGUGCAUUUGCAUAAGUCGCAGAUCCUACACUGCCAAGAAAAACUUCUAUCGAUGAGAAGCAGCGCCCGUACUGUAAACCGACACAGGUGGACAGAGUGAGAAACUUAAGGCCGACAGGAUAACUCUAGCUAAGGAACUCUGCAAAAUAGCCCCGUAACUUCGGGAGAAGGGGUGCCUGACAUACCUGAAGGAGAGAAGCGCUCCCAGGGGAAACAGGCCGCAGUGAAGAGUCUCAAGCAACUGUUUACCAAAAACACAGGUCUAUGCUAAGCUGAAAGGCGACGUAUAUGGGCUGACACCUGCCCAGUGCCGGAAGGUUAAGAGGAGGAGUGAGAGCUCCGAUUUGAAGCCCCGGUGAACGGCGGCCGUAACUAUAACGGUCCUAAGGUAGCGAAAUUCCUUGUCGGGU
rnacentral:rRNA from 1 species